rnacentral:rRNA from 1 species
UACGUAGGGCGCAAGCGUUGUCCGGAAUUAUUGGGCGUAAAGCGCGCGCAGGCGGCUUCUUAAGUCUGAUGUGAAAUCUCGGGGCUCAACCCCGAGCGGCCAUUGGAAACUGGGAAGCUUGAGUACAGAAGAGGAGAGUGGAAUUCCACGUGUAGCGGUGAAAUGCGUAGAUAUGUGGAGGAACACCAGUGGCGAAGGCGACUCUCUGGUCUGUAACUGACGCUGAGGCGCGAAAAGCGUGGGGAGCAAACAGG